rnacentral:misc_RNA from 1 species
CUCCAAUCUCUCUUCUCCUUGAACGAGGACAUGCUACAACAGUUAGUGCAGUGCUAGAAAAACAAGUAAAUUACAUCCUUAAAGGAAACCAAUGCAAAAAUCCCAUCAUUUGUUCUUCAAGAUCGGCCAAAAAAAACUGGAAAAAGCGGUACGUGCUGAGAGAAAUACGUAAACUACUUGGAGUCAGAAAGAAUGGUAUUUCUGCCAUUUUUGAA